rnacentral:rRNA from 1 species
AUAUCAAUAAGCGGAGGAAAAGAAACUAACAAGGAUUCCCCUAGUAACUGCGAGUGAAGAGGGAAAAGCUCAAAUUUAAAAUCUGGCAGGCUUUGACUGUCCGAGUUGUAAAUUAGAGAAGUGUUAUCCGCGUUGGCCUGUGCAAAAGUCUCUUGGAAAAGAGCAUCAUAGAGGGUGACAAUCCCGUCUUUGGCACAGAUUACCAGGGCUUUUGUGAUGCGCUCUCGAUGAGUCGAGUUGUUUGGGAAUGCAGCUCUAAAUGGGUGGUAAAUUCCAUCUAAAGCUAAAUAUUGGCGAGAGACCGAUAGCGCACAAGUACCGUGAGGGAAAGAUGAAAAGAACUUUGAAAAGAGAGUUAAACAGUAC